rnacentral:lncRNA from 1 species
GUGACGGCCCAGUCGGCUUCCUCGGGCGGAGGGGUGCGGAGGGGUGCGUACAGGCCCGCGGCCCCAGCGGCGGCCCUGCUGCGUCCGCGUCUCCGGCAUGCGCCAGGCGGGCUGGGGCGGCCAGGCCGCGAGCUCAGCGCCCACCUGAGGUAACUCCCGCAGCCUCGGGCCGUGCGUGCCCCACGCCGCGCGCAGCCGCCGCCGCCGUCCGCCGUCGAGGCCGCCCGAGCCCCCGGCCCGGCAGGGGGUGUGGCUGCUGCUGCGCGGCCCGCGACAGAUUUAGUCUGUGGGAGUCUAAAGGACCUCAAUUGGAGAUAUUUUCCUCAAGAGACCAUUCGAAUAUGAAAUCUGCUAGGAAGUAGGGAGCACUUUUGUCCUGGAUGAUGUUACCCACUUUUCAGAGUACCAGUACUCAGUACUCAUUACAGGUACAUUUUAUUUAGCUGGCCUUGUGAGUGGAAAGGGAUGCUAACAACUUCUUGAUCAAUUUAUCCAUUAUCCUCCUGAUUCUAACUUUACCUUAAGCCCCCAGUCCUUCUGGAGCUACCCAGUGUUGUCAGUUCCUCAGCUUUCUGCACAAGUUUUAUAAUGUAAAUUAGCUGUCUCAGGGCUUCCCGGCUGCCAGCUUAGAAUUCAUCAUUUUUGGGCCUGCUGAAUCAGUUACUAUUCAUGGCCCUGCUCCAUUGUGUGGAUGUACCACAGUUUUUUUACCCACUCACCUACUGAAGGACAUUUUGGUCUCUUCCAAGUUUAGGCAAUUAUGAAUAAAACUGCUAUAAACAUCCAUGUGCAGGCUUUUGUGUGGACAUAAGCUUUCACUUCAUUUGGGUAAAUACCAAGGAAUGUGAUUGCUGGAUAAUAUGGUAAGAGUAAGUUUAGUUUUGUAAGAAACCUCCAAACUGUCUUCCGAAGUGGCUGAACCAUUUUGGAUUCCCACCAGCAGUGAAUGAGAAUUCCUGUUCCUCCGCAUCUUCACCAGCAUUUGGUGGUGUUGUCAGUGUUCUUGACUUUGGCCAUUCUAAUAGGUGUAUAGUGGUAUCCCAUUGUUGUUUUCAUUUGCAUUUCCCUGG